CCUACGGGUGGCAGCAGUGAGGAAUAUUGGUCAAUGGCCGUAAGGCUGAACCAGCCAAGUCGCGUGAAGGAAGAAGGAUCUAUGGUUUGUAAACUUCUUUUAUAGGGGAAUAAAGGUAUCCACGUGUGGAUUUUUGCAUGUACCCUAUGAAUAAGCAUCGGCUAACUCCGUGCCAGCAGCCGCGGUACUACGGGGGAUGCGAGCGUUAUCCGGAUUCAUUGGGCUUAAAGGGAGCGUAGGCGGGCGUUAAAGUCAGCUGUAAAAUCGCGCGGCUCAACCGCGCCCCGCAGUUGAAACUGGACGCCUUGAGUUCACAACAGGCAGGCGGAAUUCGUGGUGUAGCGGUGAAAUGCAUAGAUAUCACGAGGAACCCCGAUUGCGAAGGCAGCCUGCCGGGGUGCGACUGACGCUGAGGCUCGAAGGUGCGGGUAUCAAACAGGAUUAGAUACCCUGGUAGUC
rnacentral:rRNA from 1 species